UAGUCCACGCCGUAAACGAUGCUUACUCGGUGUUUGGGUUUUAUACUUGAGCACCUAAGGGAAACCAAUAAGUAUCCCACCUGGGGAGUACGUUCGCAAGAAUGAAACUCAAAGGAAUUGACGGGGGCCCGCACAAGCGGUGGAGCAUGUGGUUUAAUUCGAUGAUACGCGAGGAACCUUACCAGGGCUUAAAUGCAUAUUGACAGGGGUAGAGAUACCUUUUCCUUCGGGCAAUUUGCAAGGUGCUGCAUGGUUGUCGUCAGCUCGUGCCGUGAGGUGUCAGGUUAAGUCCUAUAACGAGCGCAACCCCUACCGUUAGUUGCCAGCAUGUCAAGAUGGGGACUCUAACGGGACUGCCGGUACAAACCGUGAGGAAGGUGGGGAUGACGUCAAAUCACCACGGCCCUUACGUCCUGGGCCACACACGUGCUACAAUGGCCAGUACAGAGAGCAGCCAUGUCGCAAGGCAGAGCGAAUCUAUAAAACUGGCCACAGUUCGGAUCGGAGUCUGCAA
rnacentral:rRNA from 1 species